UACAGAGGUCCCAAGCGUUGUUCGGAUUCACUGGGCGUAAAGGGUGCGUAGGCGGUCGGGUAAGUCUGAUGUGAAAUCUCACAGCUUAACUGUGAAACUGCAUUGGAUACUAUUCGGCUUGAGAGUUGGAGGGGGGACUGGAAUUCUUGGUGUAGCAGUGAAAUGCGUAGAUAUCAAGAGGAACACCAGUGGCGAAGGCGAGUCCCUGGACAACUUCUGACGCUGAGGCACGAAAGCGUGGGUAGCAAACAGG
rnacentral:rRNA from 1 species